rnacentral:rRNA from 1 species
AGCAGCCGCGGUAAUUCCAGCUCCAAUAGCGUAUAUUAAAGUUGUUGCAGUUAAAAAGCUCGUAGUUGAAUUUCGGGGUUAGUGCGCUGGUCGUGCUUCGGUAUGUACUGGUGUUACUGAUUCCUACCUUCUGAAGAGCCGUUAUGUCAUUAAUUUGGUGUGGCGGGGAAUCAGGACUGUUACUUUGAAAAAUUAGAGUGUUUAAAGCAGGCUCGCGCUUGAACACAUUAGCAUGGAAUAAUGAAAUAGGACGUUGAUCCUAUUUUGUUGGUUUCUAGGAUUGACGUAAUGAUUAAUAGGGAUAGUUGGGGCAUUAGUAUUCAAUUGUCAGAGGUGAAAUUCUUGGAUUUAUUG